rnacentral:rRNA from 1 species
UGCCAUUAGCCCCUAUUACUGGUACAUCCUGCCCGGUGAUUAAUUUAAACGGCCGCGGUACCCUGACCGUGCAAAGGUAGCAUAAUCACUUGCCUAUUAAUUGUAGGCUAGUAUGAAAGGACACACGCGAGUAACACUGUCUCAAUAAAAUCUAUAAAACUUUAUAUUUGAGUGAAGAAGCUCAAAUAAACCCGCAGGACAAGAAGACCCUAUAGAGCUUUACCUCACAUAUUUCACAACAAAAUAUACAGCGGUUCGGUUGGGGCGACCGGGGUAUAAAAAACAACCCUACAAUCCUAAGACCACCCAGUCUCAUAAAAGAUCCUAUAUAAGAUCACUGAAUCAAGCUACCUUAGGGAUAACAGGCUAAUCCUCUUUGAGAGUCCGUAUUAACAAGAGGGGUUGGCACCUCGAUGUUGGCUUAGGACCACUCUAUGAUGCAGCAGUCAUAAAAAGUUGGUUUGUUCAACCAUUAAACUCCU